AUUGAACGCUGGCGGCAGGCCUAACACAUGCAAGUCGAACGAGUGGCGGACGGGUGAGUAAUGACUGGGAAACUGCCUGAUGGGGGGGGAUCACUACUGGAAACGGUAGCUAAUACCGCAUACCAUCAGAUGUGCCCAGAUGGGAUUAGCUAGUAGGUGGGGUAAUGGUUCACCUAGGCGACGAUCCCUAGCUGGUAUGAGAGGAUGACCAGCCACACUGGAACUGAGCCACGGUCCAGACUCCUACGGGAGGCAGCAGUGGGGAAUAUUGCAAAAGGGGCGCAAGACUGAUGCAGCCAGGCCGCGUGUGUGAAGAAGGCCUUAGGGUUGUAAAGCACUUUCAGCGAGGAGGCGUUACUCGCAGAAGAAGCACCGGCUAACUCCGUGCCAGCAGCCGCGGUAAUAC
rnacentral:rRNA from 1 species